rnacentral:rRNA from 1 species
UACGUAGGGUGCAAGCGUUGCCCGGAUUUAUUGGGCGUAAAGGGCGCGUAGGCGGCUCGGCACGUCCGUUGUGAAAUCGCCCGGCUCAACUGGGCGGGGUCAGCGGAUACGGUCGAGCUUGAGCAAGCUAGGGGGCAAUGGAAUUCCCGGUGUAGUGGUGGAAUGCGUAGAUAUCUGGAGGAACACCGGUGGCGAAGGCGGCAUCCUGGACCAAUUCUGACGCUGAGGAGCGAAAGCCAGGGGAGCCAAACGGG